UUCUGAUUGCUUUUGACUGCAGGUUCAGCAGCAGGUUCGUGUUCGGCAGAUGUUUGUUUUGUCUCCUUUGCUCUGAAGUUUGAAGAAAACACAAAGAGAAGGGAAAUAGGACAUUACUCCAUCGUCACCUGAAGAACAGGAGCAAGAGACACAGUACAGCACUGAUACUUUCCAAGCAGCGCCGCCGGUGUCCUGCGCAUCAUUCCAGAUCCUGUGAUUGGACAACCGACCGGUCGAUCUUCCCUGUCAACGUGAUGACGACACCCAUCUCUGAACCAAUCAGGCACCCCCAGUCUACUAUAAGGACUCGGAAAUGACACAAGACGGGAGAGUGUGUUUCUCCUUUGCUGAUAGUUCUCGCUUGUUUGUCACGCUGUCCAUCCUUUUCGAGUUUCUGGUGCAAUUAUGAUUUGUUAGUUUAUCUUGAGUUAUUUCUGAUCGCUCCCUUUACUCUACAUGUUGUAUUUACUCGCCUCUGAUUUGACUCUGGCUGUUUGCCCGAUUGUGCUGUGAUCUGAUUCCCUUUCUCUCUUUAAGAGUUGAUGGUUGGAUUUAUCUCUUGACUCAUAGUGUUGAGAUGAGGUUAGUAUGUCACGUGACCUACACAAAGCAACAUGUAGAAUAUCGCUUGUAUAAAAACACUAGGAUAGGAGCGGGAGCUAAUGCUUGUAUUUAUGUUUUGUUAGUGAGAGUAGUUAGUUGGCGUUUACGCCGAAGUUUUGUGGACAUAAUUCCUCACUAAAGUUUUUCUGAUAAGCAUUUUCGGUUUCUGUUUGAUUCAUUACUCCACACAUCUCAUUCCUUUAGUAACAGACAGCCUCCCCGAUUCUAAAAACAUCUUUAAUUUCUUUUUCAUUAAUUUAUUCUUUGUGUUCACUUCCUACAUCCCUGGACGCUAAUUUUGACAACAACAACCAAAUAGAAAGUCGUAGCAUACAUGCUCAUGUCAAGUAACUUUAGCAGUUUUACACACUCUCAGUACUGUUUGACUUUAUAGCAUGCAGCUGUGGAUCAGCAGUGAGGAGGUGUUUCCUCUCAGUCUGGUUCCUCUCAAGGUUUCUUCCUCAUGUCAUUUCAGAGAGUCUUUUCUUGCCACCAUUGCCUCUGACUUUCUCAUUAGGGAUCUAAAUCUAUAUCUGGAUUUCUGUAAAGCUGCUUUGUGACAGUGUCCAUUGUUAAAAGCGCUAUAUAAAUGAAAUAAAAUUUAAUUGAAUUUAAAAGAGGAGUGAAAUCUUGCUGCUGCAUUUGUGUUUGUUGUAUACUGGGUUACGAGGACCAGUCCAAAAUCUUUGCAAAACUAAAGUGCACAUACAAGCAAAUGUACAUUAUAUAUAUAUAUACAUAUAAGUAUAUGUAGAUUUUCCUGGAACUUAUUUGAACUCUUGGUAAGUAAUUAAUCUCUUGGAUUAAUAUAUGUAUGUGUGUGUGUAAUAAAUAUAUAUAUAUAUAUAUAUAAAACGUAGAGAGAGAGAGAGAGCAAGCAAGCAGAACAUAGACUCUGAACAGGCAGGGUUAGUGCAAACAAACAUGUAUUUAUUUAGUGGAGUUGUGAUGGGGAAUGGUGGUGCUGGUGGAGGGAGAGUGGGUGUGGCUGGCUUUCUGGACUGUGGGCUGCAGUGAGGAAUGGGACAGGAGGGUCGCUAUAUAUAUGUAGCUAUAUAUAGGGUCGCGGUGGCACGG